rnacentral:rRNA from 1 species
UACGAAGGGGGCUAGCGUUGUUCGGAAUUACUGGGCGUAAAGCGCACGUAGGCGGACAUUUAAGUCAGGGGUGAAAUCCCGGGGCUCAACCCCGGAACUGCCUUUGAUACUGGGUGUCUCGAGUCCGGAAGAGGUGAGUGGAAUUCCGAGUGUAGAGGUGAAAUUCGUAGAUAUUAGGAAGAACACCAGUGGCGAAGGCGGCUUACUGGUCCGGAACUGACGCUGAGGUGCGAAAGCGUGGGGAGCAAACAGG